ACCCACGCCCACGCCGAGCGGUGAAAGGAGAAAGAGAGACAGAGAGAGAGAUACCCCGCAAAUGGAUAUGCGAGCACGUCGACUUCUGACCAAGGCAGAGGGCUAGGGAGAAUCGCCUGCGCGUAUGGGUGCUCGUCGUGGCGUCGUUGAUGGGGAAGACCCUUGGCGUCACCGCGAUUUCUCACCGGAGUUAUGGGCCCCACCGCGGAUCGCACUUCCCUGUGGGCAGAAAACGUCACGGCAUGACCAUCGGUAAGAAGCCCCACUCUAUUCACCAAAUUCUCUGGAACGAGUAGACGUCGUCGAUUUGGAGCUUUGGGCAAUGGAGCGGGUGAUGGCCAUUGCGCCGGUGAGUAGCGCCGCCGUGGAGACUGUGCUCCGGCGUCCCUGCACCAUCAGAGGAUGAAGGAGAGUCUACGUCCGUUGAUUCUGUAAUAGGUCGACAAGAUUAAGGGGUGUUUGGUUUCUAGGGACUAAUGUUUAGUCCCUGGAUUUUAUUCCAUUUUAGUUCCAAAAUUACCAAAUAUAGAAACUAAAACUUUAUUUUAGUUUCUAUAUUUAGCGAUUUAUACACUAAAAAGGAAUAAAAUGAAGGGACUAAACAUUAGUCCCUGGAAACCAAACACCCCCUUAGAAUGAUGCGUACCGAUUCAGCAGAUUGAAUCUGUGCAGUGGAUCGCAGAACGGACGGGGUGGAUUAGAUCGCCCUUCAUAAAAUCUGGGCCGCUGAUCGAGAUCUGACGGCGAGGAUUGCAUACCGUUUCACAAGAAUUCUGAUCUAAUCUAGGCUGCCGGAUCAAGAUCGAACGGCCGUGGUCAGCCCAUACCCCUUCGGGCGUGGAAUAUUGUUAAAGAACCGCUGUCUUUUCAUUUAUUCAACUCGCCGUCCUGGUGCAGUUAUAAAAGAUUUAAUUUAAGUCCCUAGAAUUUGCAGUUUAGCCCUUGAACUUAUAGAUUUUGAACCAGCAGUCCAUCAGUUUAUGGAAUUAUAUAAAUUAAUCUCGAAAAUGGAUUUUCAACAUAAGAAUUAAUCCUAGUUGUUAGAAAAUUUAUAUCUUGCACAUUUUAACUCCGAUUUGAUCCGUUCAAGUUGCGUUAGCUUCGUAAUAAAAUUGCCUACUCAGUAACAAUACUAUAUGUGUCAUAUCCCAAACUUUUAUAAUUAGAUAUUUAUUUAACCUAUGUUUAGUAGAUUAAUCUUUCUAAUCAAAGUUAAUAUGUAUAUAAUUAUAAUCUGACUAAAAUAUGAUUCCUGUCAAGUUAUAACUUAGGUUAAAGUUGAAAUAGUUAUUUCCAUGGAAUAUAUUGUCUCACAUGAUUUAUAUUAAUCAAAGAAACAUAGUUUUCAUAAUUAAUCACACAGAUUUUUCAAAAACUAUAUCUUUUCAGCCGUGACUCUGAUCUUACUAAAUAUCGAACCCACGAUCUCAUAACGAUGCAUAGAUUAUUAUUAUGCAAUUUAUUCUUAUGUUUAGUGUGAUAUUAAUUUUGUCUAUACCAUGUUUAUUUGUAUUGUUACAACUAGCAGCGAGGUUACGAGUCACCUGAAGAGCAAAUUGGUACCUGGAAUCUCAAGUCCCAAGCAACUUGUGCCCUUGAUCACUUUUAUUUACCCAAUAAUGUUCUUUAUAAUCAUUUUAUCAUGCAUAGGCUUAAUUUUGAUGAGACCCAAUAGGUCACCCUAGUCUGAUUAUCUUUAUACCUUGUUUACCCCUGAACUAUUUGGGUAGUUUUGCUAUUGCUCUAUAUAGUUUUGGGAUUAAUAUUACAUUAUCUUCAUGUUCCAAUUAUACUGUUAUUUUAUUUAUGUUCAUGACAAGAUCAUUAUCUUUAAUUGGAACAUGGAGCUUAACUUGAGAAACACGUGCCACCACAAGGGUGGAAUGGGACCCCCUUGGCUGACUAACUAGGAAAGCUAGUGGAGGACUACCUUACCCGAUAGGGGCAAGGGCAGUAGGGGAGUAGGCGUGUAGGGAGGUUCCCGGGUUGAUUUUGCUUCGAUGCCGGUCAGACGGGGGAUUCCUGCAUUGCUCUUCCUAGAAACUGUAGCGGAUUUUCUGAAGCUAGUGUAACUUUGUAAAGGCCUCGUAGUGGAUCCCUAGCCAUUCACCUCGGAAGUGUCUAAGGGUCUUGCAAACCCUGGCGACAUGGGAUACACGACUUGUGGGUACAGGGUAUAACCUCUGUAGAGUGUAAAACUGGUAUACUAGCCAUGCUCGCGGUCAUGAGCAGCUCAAGACUCUCGCAUGAUUAAAUUAUGGAACUAAAUUCAAUUUGUCAUUUGCAUUGCAUGGGAUUUAUUAUUAAUUUUGUUCUAUUAUUAUUAUGGUUUCGUAUUUACUUACAUUUAGUAACUGCUAAUAAUAAUUUGACCAACUUGUUAAAAGCAAUGCUCAGCUUUUACCCUCUACUAUUGAUCAGCCUUACACAUCACAUGAACUCCCACCUUUGCUGAGUUCAUGCACAUUAUUCCCCACAACUUGUUGAGCGAUGAACAUAUGUGAGCUCACCCUUGCUGUUUCACACCCCCAUAGGUCAAGAACAGGUACCAUAGGAUGAGGAGCAUGGAGGAUGCUGUGAUGUGUUCGUGAGAGGUCUAGGCCGUCGUCUCCCAGUCAACUUUGGGUUGCUGGAUCGUUGCCUCCUUACGAUGUAAUUAUUUAUUUAUUUUGUAUAGAACUCCUAUUAUAUAGUAAAGUUGUAACAUUCGUUUCUGUACCAUGAUUCAUCAUAUGUGUGAGACUUGGUCCCAGCACACACCUGGUGAAUAUCUCACACCUAGGUUUUGGAUCCAGGUGUGACAGAAGUGGUAUCAGAGGAAUGUUGACUGUAAGACGAAACCUAGAUAGAACUGGAUAACUCUUAUUUACUUUCAUUUGCUACUCUGAUUCUUUCUAAACUUUUCUUAAUCUUUUCUCAUCUAUUUCCGCUUUACUCUGAUUAUUCUUACCUUUUCACUUCUAAAGACAAAUGAGGAUUUCACACUUUGAAAUCUUAUACCUAAAUUGACCUUUAGGAAUAGGAAACCUAAUCCUAUGAACCAAAUCAAAACUAUUUUUAUAGUUAUCUACGUGAUUGAAUGUUUGUUCUUGUGAUACAUGUCUGAUAUGGAUCUUUAGUUGAGUGUGAUGAGUUGUGGAGUAAUGUCCACAAUUACAUCUGCAUGUACAUAUAGGCAUAAAUAUAAAUAAAUAAAAUUCAUAAGAUAACUAGACAACCUAGAUUAUUCUCCAUUAAAGUGUAUCUAUUUUAAAUAGAUCCCUUUUAACUUAAAGAAUUAUAUCUUAUUCUAAUUGGUUCAUCUUAUGUUAAAAAAUAUAUAUCUUAUCCUCAUAAAUUGUUUAUAAGAUAAACUAGACCAACUAAUAAUACCCCACUAGAACAUAUUAAGCCUAAUAGAUCCAUCUUAUCUUAAAAGGUUCUCUCUUAUCUUAAUAGAUUCAUCUUAUUUUGAAGGAAUCAUCGUAUCCUAACCACUUUACUUAUCUCAUCCUACAGUAACAACCAGGAUAUAAUCCAAAAUAAUGAGAUCUUAUCUAGUCUAAUCUAGUCACACAAAUAUAACUUAGAUCUGAUCUAAUGUGACAGAUUAAUCUAACCUAACGAAGGUUAACGUUGAGCUAAUCUAAUGUAAGUUUCUUAACAAGGAGGAUAAUACUGCUAAAAUAAAUGAGACUCUACUCCUAUAAAAUAUGUUUUAACUUGAUUCACUCUACACUAAAUUAAAAACGACAAACCAACUCGGCGUUAUGCAACUACCUUAACCAUUCGAUGGUUGCAUAACCCCUUUGUUUUAACAUAACAGAGAUUCUGACUUACCUACACCAUAUAAUUCAUCCUAUCUCAAAAGAUUCUAACAUAUCCUAAUAAUAUAUAUCCUACCCUUGUAAAUCUAUCUAACUUAAACUAGUCUAAUCUAGUUAUAUCCAAUCUAAUCUAGACCCUACCUAAUCUAAUAUGAUCCAAUCUAAAGGGAGUUAUUUAAACAAGUUCGUUAAUACUAGUAACGUAGAUAGACCAUAUUCCUAUAAAUGGGUUUUAAACCUAAAUUGGUGUCUUAGAUCAACUCGUCCAUGAAACCACGACCCAACCUAUGUUAUAGGUUGCCCAACCCAUUUAUCCCAAAAGCAAAGUAAAACUCUGUUUAAUCUACCUACCCCAUGUACCCGCAAUUGGUAUCCCAACUUAGAUAAUGGCAUCUAACACCACGACCGUUGGUCCCUAAAUCAAACCCAAGAAGAAGGUUAACCUCGAUAAUGAAGGAUAUGAGUAGAAACAGAUCUUUAGAUGAACCAAGAUCCACCACCCGGAAUAAAAGUCUCCCUUACCUAACUUUCUCUUACCCCCAAAUCUUCUCUACACUCACCUAAUAGCUAAAACCUGAUGUACCCUUGCUUUCUAUGCCAUAUCUGCUAAUGGCAUGAAAAUUUUAGUUGUAUAAAAAAUACUAAUUGGAAGUUCCACUUAGAUAUUAAAAAAAGAGAUACUAGAAUUUCAUAAAGAUAAAGCCAGCAUGAUAUGCUUAACUAAAUGAUAUUCCUAAAUAGGAUUAUAGAAUCUAAUAUGAUCUAAUCUAAUGUGGUCUACUUAAACAAAUUAGUGAUACGGGCAGAAGAGAUUAGACCCUACUAGCCAGGUGUUAACUUAACUUAGUACAUUAGACCAACUCAACCAUGAGCAAAAGAGCUAACCCAACCAAUAGUGUCAUGACGGAUUACAUAAUCUAUCUAUCUCCACCUAACAUCAAACAAGAUUUUGACCUACAUCAUGUAGUUUAUCUCAUCCAUAACUAUCUUAACCAUAUUCCCCCAACUCCGAUGAUGUACACUGACCUCGAAUCAAUGAGACCAAGACUGGAGAAGAAAAGCUCAACCUCAUCAAGGAAGGAGAGAAGUCAAACUCGACCUUCGGAUGCAUUACCACCCAACACGGAGUUCUUUCUCACCGUAAACUUUCUUACCCAGGCUAUUCUUGCCAUAACCUACCCAUCUUUUAUCCUACAUAAUCAAAUGACUAUACAUAUAGAUACCUCUAAUGAAAAAAAGAGGCUCUUAAUUUUUGAACUAAUUAGAAACUAAAAGCUAAAUUGCAAAUCACUCUUCCUAUAUCCUCUUUCUUACUAAUCUCGAGGACGAGAUUAUUUUAAGGGGGGGUAGAAUAUGUAACACCCUAAAAUCCUAUUUUGGUAUUUGAGAAAAAAUUACUAAAGAUUUACAAUUUAAAAGCAUCUUUCUAAUAAGCUUAUAAAUUGAAAUAUUUUCCCAAAGUUAAAUAAAAGGUUAAUAUAAAUUUUGGCUAUGUAUUUGAACUAUUUUCUUAACUAAAUAAUAUGGUGAGAUAUUUUACAUAAAUCAUACUUUAUUGAAUUAUAUGUUUUGUGGCAUGGACAAAGGAAUCAAUAUAAAUAAAUAUAUAAUUUAUACUUGCAUUGUCAUGCUGAGAUUUCUGUUUGAUGCAUCUAAUAUAUGUUUGAAAUUCAUAAUCAAACUUAUGAUUGAAAUGGGAAAUGAAAAUAUGAAAUAGAAAUAGAAAAAAGGAGAAUAAGGAACCGAACUGGGCUUCACAUCUGGCCCACUCACCUUACCAGCCCACCCACGCCCGCCAAAGCCACCUCCGUCGCAUGGGUCCCGAAGACACGCACCGUGUAGACUCGAGCACACUUUGACGGUCGGGCCUACACCCCCUCCUCAUACUCCGCGUGCGCUUGCAUGGAGGACACUGAUGUGUGGGUCCGUGCUGCUAGGGCCGUCUUCCUCUAGCUGCUAGAAGCUUACACGUGAACCGGACACCGUAGCCACCGCCACCGACUUAUCCAUGGAAGAGGUUAGACCGUUACGAUUUUGUGGGCCCCGAAAGAUCGCCUCGCACGGCUAUAUAAAUGCAGCCCUGGCCAUGGCUCUCUUCACUCACGCCCACGCCGAGCGGUGAAAGGAGAAAGAGGGACCGAGAGAGAGAGAUACCCCGCCAAUGGAUAUGCGAGCACGUCGACUUCCGUACCAGGGUAGAGGGCUAGGGAGAAUCGCCUGCGCGUAUGGGUGCUCGUCGUGGCGUCGUUGAUGGGGAAGACCCUUGGCGUCACCAAGAUUUCUCACCGGAGUUAUGGGCACUGCCGCGGAUCGCACUUCCGUGUGGGCAGAAAACGUCACGGCAUGACCAUCGGUAAGAAGCCCCACUCUAUUCACCGUAUUCUCUGGAACGAGUAGACGUCAUCAAUUUGGAGCUUUGGGCAAUGGAGCGGGUGAUGGCCAUUGCGCCGGCGAGUAGCGUCGCCGUGGAGACUAUGCUCCGGCGUCCCUGCACCAUCGGAGGAUGAAGGAGAAUCUACGUCCGUUGAUUUCGUAAUAGGCCGACAAGAUUAGAAUGAUGCGUACCGAUUCAGCAGAUUGAAUCUGUGCAGUGGAUCGCGGAACGGACGGGGUGGAUUAGAUCGCCCUUUGUCACACCCGGUUUUAGAAGGCAGACCGAAUGUGAACCGUAUACGUGCCAGGAUCAGCAAUUCACGUACACAGCAGUUACAUAACUGGACAUCAUCACAUAGUGCUCAAAUAAUGACAUAAAAGAAGGUAUAAUAGUCGAUUACAUCAUGAUGUCCGAGACAUCCACAUAGUCUUUAACAAUAAUCAAAGUGUGGAAAAGAAACGUAGAUACACACGGCCUACACAGGCAGCCGACUGUGGGUUUGCCGCUAACCCAUGCCUAGAACUCAUCGUACUCUUGGAACUCCUAGAAGUCCUCCUCCACGACUUCAUCUUCACCUGAGCAGUGGUUGCAACGCUGACAACCUAGGGGGGUUGGUGUGUAAAGCAAGGGUGAGUACACAUCAACAUACUCAGCAAAAUGUACCGUUUGGCUGUAGUAGACUAGCUUUAUGUGGAGUUAAGUCAAGCAGUUGCUUUUAGUUGGUCAGGUUAUUAUUACUAGUAGAAAGCCAAGUUUUAGCAUUAACCCAAGUUAUUAACCCGAUGUAUCCUUUCCAAACGGAAAGAAUACCACUUACCAGUACCAUAAGCAUAAUCAUAACCAUCCUCCUCGUCACCACCUGUAAACCAUACAUCUCUGAUCCAGUAUCUCUAAUCAAUGGAGCUCCCUUGGCCGCUCUUAACUGCGAGCACGGCUGAUAUAUCAGUUUCAUAACACUCUGCAGAGGUUGCGCACUUUACCCACAAGCCGUGAUUCCCUCUUGCCUCGGGCUGAUCAAACCCUUAAACACUACCAAGGUGAAUAGGCAGGGUCUCACUACGUAGCCUUUACAAAGAUUCCCUGGGGCUGUAGCCGCCCGUUAGGUUUCCUAAAUGCACCGAACUCCUCCCCAAGGGGCGAACCAACCUUGGCAGAGCGAGCCGCAUACACCGAGCCCCAUUAACGGCACGACGGCAAAGCGAACUACACCCCAGUUCCUCUAAUUACUAAGCUAAGGGCGUCCCACUCCACCCUCAUGGUUGCACUGUUUUCCCGGGCGGUCAUCCAACGAACAGGUCCUUACAGAGAGGCACUCGAGAAAUAGCUCGAGUCCCCUUAAGGGCCACAAGUACCAUCAUCAUAAUCAAAAGGGAAAACAACGUAUAAUAGAUAAUCUCAUCAUGUUCAUUGAUUAAUGUGAAGCGCAAGCAUAAAGCUAAACCAGAAUAACCCAACCAGAAUAGGUAAACAAGGACAAGAUAAACAAAAGCUAGUCAAUCCUUAGGUAUAAACUGUGUAAAUGCGGGGAAUGAAUUAUAAGAAUGAGUAGGACAUAGAUGGGUCAAGGGACACUUGCCUUCACCAACCAGCUGCUGCUCAGGGUCUUCACCUGCAACUCCUUCAGACUCCGCCAACUAACCGUUAUCUAUACGAGUUCAAACAUGCAUUCCACAUAUUUAAUACAAAAGAACAGUACACCAUACAAUAGAAUGCAAUAAAUAAACAGACGUUCGACACAGGGCUCGCACUUAUGACUAAGCAAGAAAGAGAAAGUAACGGUCGAGGCUACGGUUGAAGAGCGAUCACGUUACAUGAUUAUAGAUUAAAAUACUCGUCUAAACAAAAUGGUAUUAAUUUGGUUAUUGCGUUUAGCAUAAGGUAAAGUCAUGUUCCACGUUUAACCAUUAUAAGCAGAUAAAGGUGAAUUAAAGGAAAUGGUCAUGCGGCGAGACGCGCGACAUAUCAUUUAAAUUGAAUUAAGAAAUAAACGACUCGUCGCGCGACGGAGCGCGCAACGAGACACUUGCAAUAAUUAUAAAGAGACGUUAGGCGUCGCGCGACGAAGCGCACGACGGCAUACGUCAUCCAAACUGAAUUUAGAAUGGAACGUCGCGCAACUGAACGUGCGACGUCAUACAUUAAACAAUCCUGAAAUUAAAAUGGAUCGUCGCGCGACGAAGCGCGCGACGCAACACGCUCACUAAACACAAUUUAAAAUUAAUUAAAACCAAGAAUCAAUCACUGCGCGCUAGGGCUGCACACACGGGAACACACUAUGCGCGCCGGGGCACGCGAGGCCACGCUGGGGCAUGCACAGGGGCUGCUGGGGCGCGGGGCCACCGGGCAAGGACGCGCAGGGCGAGUCGCCGGGGCACGCGAGGGCACGCAGGGGCGCGAGGCCGGGCGGGAGGGCGCGAGGCCGGGUGAGUCGUCGAGCCGCGUGGGGACACGCGCGAGGGGCUGCCAGGGGCCGCCGCCGGGAGGGCCGCGCAGGGGGGGCUGCGGGGACCCGCCGGGGAGGGCGCGCAGGGGGCGCGCAAGGGGGUCACGCGGGGGGCCGCAAGGGGGCUGCGCUGGGGGCCGCGGGGAGCCGCGGGGGAGGGCGCGCGGGGGGCAAUGCGAGGGCGCGCCAGGGGGCGCGGGGAGCACUGCCGAGGUGCCGCGGGGAGCGCCGCCGGGGAGGGCGCGAGGGCACCGCGGCGGGGGGGGGGGGGCACGAGGGCCGCGCGGGGGCACCGCGGUGGGAGCCUCCAGGGGCGCGCGCGCAGGGAGGCCGCCAGGGGGAAGAAGAAGGGGAGGGGGAGAGGAAAGAGAGAGAGAGAGAGAGAGAGUGAGGGGAGGGGAGCUCACCUCGGGGUCCAACUCCGGCGAUCACCGUCUCCAAAACCUAGGGCACCACAGGGAGAGAGAGAGAUGGGAGAGAGAGAGGUUGUUGCGCGGGAGAAAUCAAAUGAGAGAAAAGGGAUCAGGGGGCGCGCGCAUGGGGAGCAGGGGGCGCCAGGGGCGCGCGGGCCGAGCUGGGCCGGGCCGGGCUGGGCUUGGUCGGGUCGGGCUGGGCUGCACCGUGGGUCAAAGCCCCGCGGCACGCACAACCACAGAUCGGAAAUCAAUCCGCGAAGCAAAAUCCUAAAUGGAACUAAGCAACGCACGCGAUUAAGCACGAAAUCAGACAAAGAAAUAUGAUUCGGCAUGAUGCAACACUCAUGUCAACUUAGGUUUUGUUUACACAUGAUAUGAACGCGAGUCGCUAUAUUGCUUUGAAAUUGGGAAGAAGGAGCGAAACGGGAAGAGAAAAGAGAGUAACGCCUGAAUUUGGUGAGUAAAAAGAAGAAAAAAUUUUACCCCCAAAUUCAAGGUGUUACACCCUUCAUAAAAUCUAGGCCGCCAAUCGAGAUCUGACAGCGAGGAUUGCAUAUCGUUUCACAAGAAUUCUGAUCUAAUCUAGGCUGCCGGAUCAAGAUCGAACGGCUGUGGUCAGCCCAUACCCCUUCGGCCGUGGAAUAUUGUUAAAGAACCACUGUCUUUUCAUUUAUUCAACCCGCCGUCCUGGUGCAGUUAUAAAAGAUUUAAUUUAAGUCCCUAGAAUUUGCAGUUUAGCCCUUGAACUUAUAGAUUUUGAACCCGCAGUCCAUCAGUUUAUGGAAUUAUAUAAAUUAAUCUCGAAAAUGGAUUUUCAACAUAAGAAUUAAUCCUAGUGCUUAGAAAAUUUAUAUCUUGCACAUUUUAACUCCGAUUUAAUUUGAUCCGUUCAAGUUACGUUAGAUUCGUAAUAAAAUUUCCUACUCAGUAACAACACUAUUUGUGUCAUAUCCCGUACUUUUAUAAUUAGAUAUUUAUUCAACCUAUGUUUAGUAGAUUAAUAUUUCUAAUCAAAGUUAAUCUGUAUAUAAUUAUAAUAUUACUAAAAUAUGAUUUUUGUCAAGUUAUAACUUAGGUUAAAGUUGAAAUAGUUAUUUCCAUGGAAUAUAUUUUCUCACAUGAUUUAUAUUAAUCAAAGAAACAUAGUUUUCAUAAUUAAUCACACAAAUCUUUCAAAAUCUAUAUCUUUUCAGCCAUGACUCCGAUCUUACUAAAUUUCGAACCCACGAUCUCAUAACUACGCGUAGAUUAUUAUUAUGCAAUUUAUUCUUAUGUUUGGUGUGAUGUUAAUUUUGUCUAUACCAUGUUUGUUUGUAUUGCUAUGACUAGCAGCGAGGUUACGAGUCACUUGAAGAGCAAGUUGGUACCUGGAAUCUCAAGUCAUAGGCAAGUUGUUCCCUUAAUCACUUUUAUUUACCCAAUAAUAUUCUUUAUAAUCAUUUUAUCAUGCAUAGGCUUAAUUUUGAUGGGACCCAAUAGGUCACCCUAGUCUGAUUAUCUUUAUACCUUGUUUACCCCUAAACUAUUUGGGUAGUUUUGCUAUUGCUUUAUAUGGUUUUGGGAUUAAUAUUACAUUAUCUUCAUGUCAAGAUCAUUAUCUUUAAUUGUAACAUGGAGCUUAACUUGAGAAACACUUGCCACCAUAAGGGUGGAAUGGGACGCCCUUGGCUGACUAACUAGAAAAGCUAGUGGAGGGAGUAGGCAUGUAGGGAGGUUCCCGGGUUGAUUUUGCUGCGAUGGCGGUCAGACGGGGGAUUCCUGCAUUGCUCUUCCUAGAAACUGUAGCGGGCUUUCUGAAGCUAGUGGAACUUUGUAGAGGCCUUGUAGUGGAUCCCUAGCCAUUCACCUCGGAAGUGUCUAAGGGCCUUGCAAACAGUGGCGACAUGGGAUACACGACUUGUGGGUACAGGGUACAACCUCUGCAGAGUGUAAAACUGGUACACUAGCCGUGCUCGCGGUCAUGAGUAGCUCAGGACUCUCGGUUUAAAUUAUGGAACUAAAUUCAAUUUGUCAUUUGCGUGGCAUGGGAUUUAUUAUUAAUUUUGUUCUAUUAUUAUUAUGGUUUGGUAUUUACUUACAUUUAGUAACUGCUAAUAAAAAUUUGACCAACUUAUUAAAAGCAAUGCUCAGCUUUAACCCCUAUUAUUGAUCAGCCUUACACAUCACAUGAACUCCCACCUUUAGUGAGUUUAUGCACAUUAUUCCCCACAACUUGUUGAGCGAUAAACAUAUGUGAGCUCGUCCUUGCUGUCUCACACCCCUCCCCACAGGUCGAGAAUAGGUACCACAGGAUGAGGUGCAUGGAGGAUGUUGCGAUGUGUUCGUGAGAGGUCUAGGUCGUCGUCUCCCAGUCAACUUUGGGUUGCUGGAUCGUUGUCUCCUUACGAUGUAAUUAUUUAUUUAUUUUGUAUAGAACUCCUAUUAUAUAGUAAAGUUGUAACAUUCAUUUUUAUACCAUGAUUCAUCAUAUGUGUGAGACUUGGUCCCAGCACACACCUGGUGAUUAUCUCACGCCUGGGUUUUGGAUCCGGGUGUGACAGGUAUGUUCUACUAGUGCAAAAUGCAAAUUUCACUCUACUUAUAACAAUAGUCCACGUAUUUUGUAUGACCCAUAAUGUAAGGUGAUGUGUAGAUUACUUUAUGCACUACCGGAAUUGGAUGCUGUGCCGAGUGCCUGAAGCACUCGGCAAAGCCUGGAAUGCACUCAGCAAAGUCUUCGCCGAGUGUAGCACUCAGCAGAGAGAGUUCGACGAACUAUACAUCGGUAACAGCUUCUUUGCCGAGUACUUUUUAUCGGGCACUCGGUACUCGGCAAAGAAAAGUCACCAUCACGGUGAUCGGUAAUGGAGACGGUGACUUUUGCCGAGUGUUCUAGGUGACACUCGGCAAAGAUAUUACCUUUGUCGAGUGUCACCUAAUACACUCGACAAAGUGGUUACCUCUUUGCCGAGUGUCCGUCAGCCUACACUCAGCAAAGGGGCCACCAACGGGCCCCUGUGCCAUUUUCUUUGUCGAAUACUCCAGGAGGCACUCGGCAAAUUGUUGGGGGCCUUCGGCUUCCGAAGGUCCUCAAAAACAGGAUUUAACAGUAUUUCUGGAGUAUAGUGUGUGAACAGGUAUCUUCGGACUCAAGUCAGCAUCACAGCAGACCAGAAUAAUACGAAGGUUGAUACAGCGCCGAAGGUGUGAGCAGGAAAGCUUCGGCGUGGCAGCAAAAAAUGAAACCGACUUAAAGAUGAAAAGGCUAUUCAGACCUCGAUAGAUUACUAUAGAAUUAUUAUCAAAUGUAAAGGGCAUAAAUGUAAUUUUGCAUAGGCUAUGUCCUGUGCCUAUAAAUAGGUGAACAGUACCCCCGUACUGUUCACGCUGAUUUGGCAUUCACUUUUGUGUCACGCUUUUACUCUCAUCUCCUUCAAGUUGAAGGUACA
rnacentral:lncRNA from 1 species